ACGCUAGCGGGAGGCUUAAUACAUGCAAGUCGAGGGGCAGCAUAGGACUUCGGUUCUGAUGGCGACCGGCGCACGGGUGAGUAACGCGUACACUACCUACCUUUAACAGAGGGAUAGCCCUGGGAAACUGGGAUUAAUACCACAUAGUAUUGCAUAAUUUAUUUUUAUGCAAUUAAAGCUCCGGCGGUUAAAGAUGGGUGUGCGUUAGAUUAGCUAGUUGGUAAGGUAAUGGCUUACCAAGGCUACGAUCUAUAGGGGGCGUGAGAGCGUGGACCCCCACACGGGUACUGAGACACGGACCCGACUCCUACGGGAGGCAGCAGUAAGGAAUAUUGGACAAUGGGCGCAAGCCUGAUCCAGCCAUCCCGCGUGAAGGAUGACGGCCCUAUGGGUUGUAAACUUCUUUUAUUAGGGAAGAAACCUUUUCAUUUAUGAAGAGCUGACGGUACCUAAAGAAUAAGCACCGGC
rnacentral:rRNA from 1 species